CGGGCAGGGAAGUGUGGGUGUGGCUGAGACACUGCUGGAAGCCGUGGAGAGAAUCGCCAAGUCCGUGGAGGCUUGUUUCUGUGAAGGCUAUCAUGUUUUCUUCAAAACCAUGACAUCACUGCAAAGCCACGACACCACUGGAAAGGCCUCAAUUAUUUCUUAUUCUGAGAAUUUUCUCCUUUGGACAGAAAGAAUCCAAGUAAAUACAAGAAAUUAAAUUUAGCCUGUUUCUACACACCUGCAGCAUCCCACAGGCUCCAGACCAAAGAGCUGCCAGUGAGGCUGGGUGAAGAGGGCAGCUGGGUGAGACACCUCUGGAGGGACUGAUGGUCCUUUUGACGGUUCACCACCGCUGAGGAGGACACAGUGAGAGGAAUGCAGUAUAUACAUCAGGUUCCCUCACCCUCUGUGAAGUGUCUGUGCGUCAGCGGCGUCACCUGGAAACCGGGGACAACAAAGUUACCUACCUCCCAGGGUGGUCAGGCUCCUUUGAGGCUGACCCCUAAAACAGGACCAGACACCAUCAGCACAGAGCGUGCACCUGGUGCGGUAAUUACCACCACUAGGUCUUCCCUGAGAGUACUUUUCCCUGGCCUGCCUGACUUCCACCAUAUAUUUCCAGCUCAUGCCUGCUUGCACUUUUUAAUAUUUCAUGUGUGGUUGCGUGGCCUUCUUGCCUUUUGUUGCCUUUUAACCCAUCACGCUCGUAAGUUCUUUGAAGCAGUGCUCCAAAGACAUCCACCACCUUCUAAUACCACAGACCUCGAGGCCUGGACUAUAUUGGUUGAAGUGAACGGGUCAAGAAUGAGAAAAGACAAGAGUACGUGUAAAAAUAGAAAAAGUAUUCAAACAUAUAUGCACGUAGGUUCCAAAGACAGAUGACUGAAGUAAACAAAUUCACUGAAACUGUUCUAGAUAAAGAGAAAAACACUAAUGACUUCUUAGUGUUUCCAUCCAGUUUUGAAUGAGGGACUUUCCACAUGUUAAGUGAAUGGGAUAACCACUACACUACAGAAACAGAUAAUUGUGUGGUUGCUUCAUGAGUCUAAUAAGACUUAUAGUCAUGGACACUGCCAGGGUCUCUACCCAACCGGGGAGGCAGAGCUCUUAGAACCAUUCCUCGUGGCCCCCGGUAAUAUUGUCUAACUGCCCAGCUCCACUGAUUAGUAGAUCCGGAAACCGGUCACAUUCAGCAACUCAAAACAAAACAGGGAAUGAAAGAAAGCAGGCUUCGCAGCAAGGAAGGUAAAUGCAGCUUUGGAGGUUUGAGACUAGAUAAUUCUCUCCCUUUUGUCUCUUUCCUCUAGCAAAACAGCUUGAGGGUUUAAGUUUUCACCCAUUUUGAGCUGGAUUGACACUAACGAUCUAAAGGAUUAAGGAAAUGGUAAACACAUUCAAAGAAUAUGAGCUUUGAAUAUAUUUCAUCAAAAUGUAGAUAUAAAUUAGCCAAAAAUAAAAUUAGUUUUACAUAUGCUUCAGAAAUGAUUGUUUCUUCUAAAUUAGGUGGAAUUAUCUAUUAAA